rnacentral:lncRNA from 1 species
GCCCUGCCCCACAUAUCACAGCCCCACAUGGCUCUCAGCCCCACAUGGCACCCAGCCCCACAUGGCACCCCAUGGCCCUGCCCCACAUGGCACCCCAUAGCUCAGCCCCAUGGCCCUGCCCCACAUGGCACCCAGCCCCACAUGGCAGCGGGGCUCGGUGCAUCCGUGGGUGUAAGGAAUUGCGGCGCCGUGGGGCAGCCAAUGGGGCGGAGUUUGGCUGCGUGGGGUGGCACAGCCCCACACCACAACCGCGCCCCACAGGGGAAUCUGCCCCACGGCGACGAGUCUGCCCUAUAGCGCUGAGUCUGCCCCAUAGCACUGAGUCUGCCCCAUAGCACUGAGUCUGCCCUAUAGCACUGAGUCUGCCCCAUAGCAUUGAGUCUGCCCUAUAGCGCUGAGUCUGCCCCAUAGCACUGAGUCUGCCCCAUAGCAUUGAGUCUGCCCCAUAGCACUGAGUCUGCCCCAUUGCAUUGUGUCUGCCCUAUAGCGCUGCAUCUGCCCUAUAGCGCUGAGUCUGCCCCAUAGCGCUGAGUCUGCCCCACAGCUCAGGGUCUGCCAUAUAAUAGUGGGUCUGCCCCAUAGCACUGCAUCUGCUCCAUAAUGCCAUGUCUGCCCCAUAGCUCAGGGUCUGCUCCAUAGAAUGGAGUCUGCCCCAUAGCGCUGCCCUACCGACCCCACAGCACCGUGGGGCUCAGCCCCAUAAGUGUAACGGGGCCACAAAGCAGGGCCGUGCCCCACAUCCCGCCCGCCGCGUCACCCCACAUGGACUCUGCCCCAUAACCCGACCUGGGGACACCGCCCCACAUCCUGACCCAAAAGAUGAUGGGGCUUCUGCCCCACAACUCAACCAAAGAACAUCGCCAUGGGCCGCCCCACAUCGCAGUGCUCUGCCCCACAUCACAACGCUCUGCCCCAUAUCACAGCACCCUGCCCCACAUCACAGUGCUCUGCCCCACAUCACAGCGCUCUACCCCACAUCACAGCACUCUGCCCCACAUCACAGAACUCUGCCCCACAUCCUCAAAUCACAGUCUCUGCCCCACAUUAUGGUGCUCUGCCCCACAUCACAGCACUCUGCCCCACAUCACCACAUUCUGCCCCACAUCCUCACAUCCCUGUGGUCUGCCCCAUAUCCUGGUGAUCAGCCCCAUAACCUGGUGAUCUGCCCCAUAUCCUUGUGAUCUGCCCCACAUCACACCCCCCACCCCACACACUGCCCCAUUCAUUGCCCCACACAUAUUACCCCACACAUUAC